rnacentral:rRNA from 1 species
ACGUAGGGUGCGAGCGUUAAUCGGAAUUACUGGGCGUAAAGUGUGCGCAGGCGGCGUUGCAAGUCGAGUGUGAAAGCCCCGGGCUUAACUUGGGAAUUGCGCUCGAAACUACGAUGCUGGAGUAUGGCAGAGGAAGGUGGAAUUCCACGUGUAGCGGUGAAAUGCGUAGAGAUGUGGAGGAACACCGAUGGCGAAGGCAGCCUUCUGGGCCAAUACUGACGCUCAUGCACGAAAGCGUGGGGAGCAAACAGGA